CGAAAUAGAGCAUGUAUUAUAUGCAAUUCACUUACACUGAAAUGAAGGAUCUAAUCCUAUUUUGA
rnacentral:tRNA from 1 species